rnacentral:tRNA from 1 species
AGGUCAGUAGCUCAAUGGUAGAGCAGCGGUCUCCAAAACCGCAGGUUGGGGGUUCGAGUCCCUUCUGGCCUG